rnacentral:rRNA from 1 species
AUUGAACGCUGGCGGCAUGCCUUACACAUGCAAGUCGAACGGUAACGGGCCUUCGGGUGCCGACGAGUGGCGCACGGGUGAGUAAUACAUCGGAACGUGCCCGAUCUUGGGGGAUAACGAGGCGAAAGCUUUGCUAAUACCGCAUACGAUCUACGGAUGAAAGCAGGGGACCGCAAGGCCUUGCGCGGACGGAGCGGCCGAUGGCAGAUUAGGUAGUUGGUGGGAUAAAAGCUUACCAAGCCGACGAUCUGUAGCUGGUCUGAGAGGAUGAUCAGCCACACUGGGACUGAGACACGGCCCAGACUCCUACGGGAGGCAGCAGUGGGGAAUUUUGGACAAUGGGCGCAAGCCUGAUCCAGCCAUGCCGCGUGCAGGAUGAAGGCCUUCGGGUUGUAAACUGCUUUUGUACGGAACGAAAAGCCUUCUUUUAAUACAGGAGGGUCAUGACGGUACCGUAAGAAUAAGCACCGGCUAACUACGUG